rnacentral:lncRNA from 10 species
CUGCCGCCCUCAGCCCACUGGUACCUGGAAGGAGUCUUAUUCAGGGAUUAGGUUACCCAGGUUGUUCAUGGAGUUCCCGCUGUACGGCCUAUAACUGGAUGGCGCAAUUUUCCCACCUGAAACUCUUAGUGCAGGGCCUAACAGGCCUUCUUAGCUAGAGUCGCUCUAAAGGACUCCUGAUUCAGUUCGGGUAAUCGGAGUCUUAUUUAGGACAAGUCUGGGUGAAUCCCUUAUGUUUACCAGAUGUACUUUCUUAGUUGGAGUUCCACUCUUACCCAAAGGCAGUGCAGCAUGCAACCAGCUUGUUUGUAGUCACAAAAGCCUGCUAGUUUUUGUUUGUUUUGAGACGGAGUCUCGCUCUGUCGCUAGGUUGGAGUGCAGCAGCGCGAUCUCGGCUCACCGCAACCUCCGCCUCCCAGGUUCAAGCGAUUCUCCUGGCUCUGCCUCCUGAGUAGCUGGGACUACAGGCGCCCGCCACCACGCCCAGUUAAUUUUUUUAUUUUUAGUAGAGACGGGAUUUCACCAUGUUGGCCAGGAUGAAGUGCUGGGAUUACAGGCGUGAGCUACCACGCCCGGCCUAGUUUUGUUUUUAAUUGGGGAAAGAAUUGUAUCAUAAUAGGUCUUUGUAAUUAAUAACUAAUUUAAACAUGUUAUCAAGGCCCUGGGGCACAAAAUUGAUUUAAGCAGACCAUCGAGGAAUCGAAACUACAGAAUAAAUGACCAGUAGAUACAUAACUACAUAGUGUGGUAAAAUCUGCAAGAGAAACUUGCUUAAGAUUCAUUGUCCAACGGAAACAAUCUAAUUUUGCUUCCUUGAACUAUAACUGAGUUAUAAGGGAAAGAAAAAUCUGAAAAAGGUAACUAAGUAACUUCGUGAUAUGAAGACAAACUGGCAAACUAACUGCAUAUUCAGGGAAAGACAAGUAGUCUAGAAGUCUAGAAUGUGGUACCUCUUUUUUUUUGAGACGUGGUCUCACUGUGACACAGGCUGGAGUGCAGUGGUGUGAUCAUGGCUCACUGCAACCUUGGGCUCAAGUGAUCCUCCCACCUUAACCUCCCAGGUAGCUGGAACUACAGGCAUGCUCCACCACAUCCGACACAUUUUUUGCAUUUUUUGUGGAGAUAUACCAUCUCCGCAAGAUGGCUAACACCUAGCCAUCUUGCCCAGGCUAGUGUCUAAAUCCUGGGCUCCAGCAAUCCUCCCACCUCGGCCUCCCAAAGUGCGGGAUUACAGGUGUGAAGCCACCAGGAGUGGCCCCAUUUCUAGGACCUUAAUUGAACACUAAUUUGAAUAUACGAACACGCACACGCCAC